UCUCUCGUAGCUUAAUGGUCAAAGCAUUGGUUCCAAAAGCCAAAGGUCCCGAGUUCGAUCCUCGGCGAGGGUG
rfam:Agrilus planipennis Contig31100, whole genome shotgun sequence.